rnacentral:misc_RNA from 1 species
CGCACAUUGCGCCCGCUAGUAUUCUGGCGGGCAUGCCUGUUCGAGCGUCAUUUCAACCCUCAGACUCACCUCUGGUGUUGGGGCCCUGCGGCUGCCGCAGGCCCUGAAUAACAGUGGCGGGCUCCGCUAUAUUCCGAGCGCAGUAAUACUCUCGCUUAGGGUGUGUAGCGGCGUCUUGCCUUGAAACUCUUUACACAAAUGGUUGACCUCGGAUCAGGUAGGAAUACCCGCUGAACUUAA